rnacentral:misc_RNA from 1 species
CCAGAGAGAAACGUACAUCAGGAGCCGCCUUACCGCCUUUCCAUGCACAUCCAUGCACAACCCACCCACCCCCUCCCCCUGUUGGACGGAUGCGCUAACCACACAUAGACACACGUGACGAAGGGGGACUCACAACUUAGACACACGCACGCACCAGAAAAGGACGACACCGAGAAACGAGGAGGAGUAGAAAGGGGGAGAGGAUGGGCAACACCGGCAUUUGAUAUCAAGGCGAUAGAGUGAUGGGAGGAGGGAGAGAGAGACAUGCAUUCAUGGUGUGAGUGUGCGCGUUGGCGGAUACGAUAGACGACAACGACCAUGUCGCACACACGUGGGAAGAGAAGAGAGGGGUCUGGUGCUUGCGCACCUGCACUUGCCUCUCCCCUCUCCUCCCACGUGCGCCCAAGUAUCUACCCAGAAAGGUGCGGAAGGGGUCUGCCAUAAAACACCGAUCUUCUUUUCUCGCCAUUUCCUUCCUCUUCCUGACUCGUGAUGCGGGUGCGUGUAUGGAUGUGCCUCUGUGCUGUUAUUGUUGCACCCCACCCUCAUCGGCCCGUCUCUCUCUCUCUCUCUCGCUCGCCCAUCUGCUUGCAUACACUGGCGCCUCUUCCCUCUUCUCUUCACGCAUCUUUUUAGUCUCCCGCUUCGCUCAUUGUUUCGAUUCUUUGUAUGUCGUGUCGUAAACACACGCAGGCACGCAGGCACGAUGAUGCAGAUACAACGAGCGUGUGUGCGUGUGUGCGUGUGUGCGUGUGUCUGUCCCCCUUUCUCUCUCUGUGUAUAUGGUUCAAGCUUAUCCAAAGCGUUCUCGCCGCAUCAUUCGCAAGACGCGCCGAAGAAAAACGAGGCGAUGUGGCGACACCGCGCCCUUCGACGUUCAGCCAUAAUGGCAGAGCGAGCAGAGACCACGAUGUGGCUGGUGGGGAUAAAGGGAGAGGGCAAUGCGGAGUGUGCACACACCCACACCCACAUACAUACACACACACACACACAUGCACACGCCCAGAUGGACGCUUUCUUUCUGUUCUUGGUAUCCCACCUUUCCUCCCUCCACCACAACG